CAAAGAAAUUCAUCAAUGUGAAAAGAGGGGAGAGAAGAAGAAGAAGAAGGUUUUUUCUUUCUCUUUCUUCUUUCUCUUUCUUUUCCUUUAUCACUUCGUUUCUCUUCUCUUUUUUCUCCUCUCCUUUCCCUUUUCCUUCUCUUCAAAUAGCUCACCACCUCAAUAACAAACAAUGCAAAAGGAACGAGAGAGAGAGAUGGAGAUGAAGAAGAAGAAGAA
rnacentral:ribozyme from 13 species